rnacentral:rRNA from 1 species
UACGAAGGGGGCUAGCGUUGUUCGGAAUUACUGGGCGUAAAGGGCGCGUAGGCGGUCCUGAUCGUCGGAUGUGAAAGGCCUGGGCUCAACCUGGGAACUGCAUCCGAUACGGCGGAACUGGAGUGUGGGAGAGGUUGGUGGAAUUCCCAGUGUAGAGGUGAAAUUCGUAGAUAUUGGGAAGAACACCGGUGGCGAAGGCGGCCAACUGGACCACAACUGACGCUGAGGCGCGAAAGCGUGGGGAGCAAACAGG